GAUCAUGGCUCAGAUUGAACGCUGGCGGCAGGCUUAACACAUGCAAGUCGAACGGUAACAUAAAGAAGCUUGCUUCUUUGAUGACGAGUGGCGGACGGGUGAGUAAUGCUUGGGAAUCUAGCUUAUGGAGGGGGGAUAACUACGGGAAACUGUAGCUAAUACCGCGUAGAAUCGGGAGAUGAAAGUGUGGGACCUUCGGGCCACAUGCCAUAGGAUGAGCCCAAGUGGGAUUAGGUAGUUUGG
rnacentral:rRNA from 1 species